rnacentral:rRNA from 1 species
GCCUACGGGGCGCAGCAGUAGGGAAUCUUCCACAAUGGGCGAAAGCCUGAUGGAGCAACGCCGCGUGGGUGAAGAAGGUCUUCGGAUCGUAAAACCCUGUUGCUAGAGAAGAAAGUGCGUGAGAGUAACUGUUCACGUUUCGACGGUAUCUAACCAGAAAGCCACGGCUAACUACGUGCCAGCAGCCGCGGUAAUACGUAGGUGGCAAGCAUUAUCCGGAUUUAUUGGGCGUAAAGAGAACGCAGGCGGUCUUUUAAGUCUGAUGUGAAAGCCUUCGGCUUAACCGGAGUAGUGCAUUGGAAACU